GGCCCUGAGGGGAGCGGGCGGCAGCGGCAGGGCUGGCGGCGCGCGGGCGGAGAUCGCCCGCGUCCCGCCGCGCCGGGCUCCUUCGGUAACGGAUGGGGCGGCGAACUAGAGAGGUCUGGGCGCAUCAGGCAAGUUGCGUGCGGCGAGCGGCGUCUGCUCAAAAAGGCUACAGUGCUCGUUGUACAGCAUGGUGAUGAUGUGAAGCCUUAAGAGACGUUUCUGGCAUACUGGAGUAGGGCUGGAAGCUCCUGAGAGGAGUGAUUGAAGUUUAAAUUCUCUCAGGCUGGAGAGACAGCUGGAACCAGUGCUUGGUUUAGGUUUCUUACUGUUGUAAAAGGAAGAAUACAGCCUUAACAGCACAAACCAGCCUGAACUCAUGGUCAUCUUAAUGCAGACUUGAAGAAGUGUUUUCCUGAGC